AGUGCCGAUUGCUCGCCUCCAUUUUUUUAAAAUCGAAGAACGUCUCGAGCUGCGUGUUACGUCAUAUCUCAGCAUUCGCUGAAAGAACGCACACGGGAACAGGAAAAGAUAAAGUUCAAUCUUGCUAAUAUUUUAUAAUUAAGCUUGGCACAUGUUUUAUAUAGAUAUGUAUUUUCUUUUUUAAUAAAACUGGACUUGUGAAUGGCGUAUAGAAGGGUUUAGAUUCUGUUCCACAGAUGGCGCUAAUGCACACAAAAGCUGCUUGCCAACCGCCAAUAAACAACAGAAGAAGAAAAACACCACGAAGAAGAACGCAGUCUGACAACUUUCCGUUUGAGCGGGUACAAGAUACCUCAAUCGGAUCGGGGAAAGGAAUAUUCCACCCCUGUGAAUCCGAUUAUAUAUUCAUUCGGAUUGGCACUUUUUCUUCGGAAUGAGGUGUAUACAAAGGUUACAUUCUUUCCGUUUGAGCAAGUAACCCGAAUGCAAUUGGAAUAUUUGGGUCCAUGUAUACAUGGCUAAUGUCUUUUGCUUUUUUCAUAGGAACUACAGAUCAAAGUCUUAUGCAUUUGUGUGACUGACAUAUAAGCAAUGGCUUUAUGUCCCAGCAUCAGCAACAGCUUGGCUAUGAAGAAGACAGAAGUUGCUAAAAUGCGUACUGACAGAGGGAAAUAGCAUAGACAAAAAAAACAGGCAUCUUACACCGGCACAAAGUUUGUCUGGAUGUUGAUCUGUUGCCAUCGCGAUUUAAUGUAAAUAACUCACUAUGUUACGCCUGAUCUUAUUUUGUUGCCAUCUUUUGUAUUUUUUAGCCACAUGAAUUUGGCUUUAAAGUAGCUUUUCUACAUCGUGACACGUGUCUCAGGUCAAGGCGGUCUUGAGAAGGAAGGAUUAAAAAUAGAAGGCACACCAAAAGCUGGUGAGAGAUGUAGUGAGAUUCAAGAGAAACAAGACAAGAAUGCAUACAGCUUGGAACGGCGGUCGUGCUAAUUAGCCACCAAGCAUGGUCGUGGCGGGCGAGGAUCACAAAGACUCUGAGCUCUACAAAGCCAACAGAUACUUUUUUCAGGUCACAUGUCACCUGGUACCUCUGCAGUGUGCCGGGCUUUGUCGUUCCACCGAGGGAGGACACAAGCGAGGACGGAUGCCAACCUCAGACAUCUCCUGGUCCACCUCCUCCUCCUCCUCAUUGCCUCCGGGAGUAUGGAGCCCACUGUAGCGGACAUCUGUGGGCAACUCCCCCGAACUGUGGGAGUCACUGCUGCCCCUCUGAGGAGGAAACAAGACGAGUAGAGAUGAGGAGGACAAGGAGGGAGAAGACAAAGGCGAGGACGUGUUCAAUCCUCAGAUCAGCAGACUUGUCAUUCGCCUCUCAUCGCUACGGGACCGCAGUAAAGCUCCCGUUUCAUGAGCGGCUUUAUCCAUCCGCAACUAUCCAUCUGAUUAAACGUGGGACCUCUGAAGAGGAAGCCAGCAGCAAAGAUUAAAAUCUGAUGAACUGAUCUCUGAUCAGACCUGCACAGAUGAAAGCGUGCCAGGUGCAACCUCCCGCAGAUCAUAAAUGAACCGCAAUCAAUCAUGCACACGUGUUGAUAGCAUGACGGCGUGUGUCUCAAUAAAGCAUGCAAAUCUGAAUUGUGAAGAUUAACAAGUCAGUAAAGUGGAUAGAAGACAUAAUUACUGUCAUGUCUUUGGGUCAAAGACAUUAAUAAUUCAUACGUUUCAUAAGUUAGUUAAAAUGAAAGUAAUAAAUAGCUAAAAGUUCGAAUAAAUAUUGUUAAAAACACUAAGGUUAAAAAGUUUACAGAGUGAGACAUCUUCGCUAGAAAGUAUCGUUUUGGGCCACUGAAGAGUGAGUGCUUUCGCAUAUAGACAAGCUUUGUCGUUUUCUCUCGGUGAAAAGCAAGUUGUCAUGGCAGAAACGAAACAGAAAACCUCAAAAACACACUGAAAGUUGCUCUAAGCGCUUGUUUCUUUGGAAAUUAUCGUCUUUGCUCAGGUCGUCAGGCAGCGCUGGAGAUGACGACUUGUCCGACAGUUGCUCCGACAUCAGGGACAUCUGCUCCACCUCCGCCAGCCGGAUCUGACCCAAAGAAAUGACACAUUCGGCCCCUAUAUUGGGUGUGUACUGCGCGCAUACAUACAGUGGUGUGAAAAAGUAUUUGCCCUGUUCCACAUGUCCAAAAGGAGUAGGAAGAAGCAAAGCUUAUUAAAUCCUACCCCUCCAUCUGGUACUUUUACAAUCAGUAACUGUUACAUUUGUUCACUUCCUGCUUUCCUAAUAUAAUUAAAGUUUUUUUUUAAUUGUUCUUGUAAAUUUAUAUAUUUUUAUUUUUUUGUAAAUUUAUAUUUUUUAAUUAUUUAAUGUUUACAUUUUUUAACGUACCAAAGUACAAGGUGAUGUAAUAUUAAAAAGUUUCAUUUCUAUUUACAUUUGUUUGAUGAUCUGAAACAUUUAAGUAAUGACAUAAACCAAAAAGGAAAUCAGGGAGUAGGCAAGCACUUUUUCACACCAUUGUAUGUAUGUAUGCAUGCAUGUAUGUGUGUGUGUAUGUGUGUGUGAAUUCACCUCCUGCGGGUGUCCCUCACAGUCCUUGCAGACGGGAGCGGAGCAGUAGUGAUGAAAGACGGAACCAGAGAGGUUGUCGAUCAUGUCACCUUCCGCUGAGUCUUUAAUAAGCAGGGAUACACUGUCCAGCCACUGGCUCUCCUGCAACACACACACACACACACACACACACACACUUCUAUAGCAAAGUUGAUGGUAGUUUUUUUUAUAAGACAAAGCUGUGCUGGUAGAGAGGAAGGUGACUAUCAGCUCUGGAGGCUUAAUUAAAGUCUCAAGUCUUUAAUUUCCUAAAGUCUAUGCUCUACUAUGAAACCUAGUCCUGCUACUAAACAUGUCAACAUAAACAGAAUAGACAGUAAAUGCAUGGUGAGACAUUCUGGGUGGAAAAUGUUGAUACAAUAUUGUUUAUUCGUUAAUGUAUUAUUAUUAUUGUUAUUCAGGGUGCUGUGAGCCUAUCUCCAAAAAUACUUAUGUGUUGGAACGUUGGCAUGAAUAAAUAAAAAUAAAUUCAGUAAAAAAAAAACAAAACACUGUGACUUCCUGUUUGCAGCCGUAAAGGAAGUGAUGAACAACAUGCUAUUUUUAGAACGGCUAAUAUAUAUAUGUGUGUGUGUGUGUGAGUGAACUUGGCCACUUCAUUAGAAACAUCUCAUCUCAUGUGAUCGUACUCUGCCUUUUGAUUGACAUGGUCUAUGAGAUUAAUUUAUACUGUAUUGUUGAUAUUGUUAAAAAUACAAAAAAAGUGUGAUGACUCAAGGGAGGACACCAGGCUACAGGAAAUCAGGUGACCACACGCUGUCUGAUGGCAGGUCAUGACAUUUCUUGAAAUGAUGCCAAUA